rnacentral:rRNA from 1 species
UACGUAGGGUGUGAGCGUUAAUCGGAAUACUGGGCGUAAAGCGUGCGCAGGCGGUUCGUUGUGUCGGCGGUGAAAGCCCCGGGCUUAACCUGGGAAUGGCCGUUGAAACUGGCGAACUGGAGUGUGGCAGAGGGGGGUGGAAUUCCGCGUGUAGCAGUGAAAUGCGUAGAGAUGCGGAGGAACACCGAUGGCGAAGGCAGCCCCCUGGGCUAACACUGACGCUCAGGCACGAAAGCGUGGGGAGCAAACAGG